CAGGGUGUCAUAUAACGGAAGUAUCCGUGGCCUGGGACCACGUGGCGAGGGUUCGACUCCUUCUACUCUGACCA
rnacentral:tRNA from 1 species